GGGUGCGACCAUACCAGCACUAGUGCACCGGAUCCCAUCAAAACUCCACAGUUAAAAGUGCUUGGGCAGGAGUAGUACUGGGAUGGGUGACCUCCUGGGAAGGCCAUAUGUUUCACCCC
rfam:Gossypium hirsutum cultivar TM-1 chromosome 14, whole genome shotgun sequence